GUGAAGUGGUUGAUAGCGUAGGUUCUGAAGCAAGACUGCUUGGUUUCAAAUCUUACCUGGUAGCUCUGUGAUCUUAUCUCUCUGUAACAUUGUGUUGAAAGUAUUUGUGAUGAGAAUUAGAUGAGAUAAUCUACACAGAGGAAUUAUCACUAGCUUGAGUUAAGUGUGCCAUAAAUACGAGCUAUCCUUGUUAUUUUAUUUGUUAAGCGCUCAGUGCCAAGACCUGGGCUAGGGCUGGGGAUUCAUAAAUGUAUAAGACACGGCCAUUCCCUUGGGACACUUACAGCCCUCAUUAUACAUGGUUAAGUAGGUCCAUUGUGAAUUGGUCUAAUCUUCCAGGAAACUGGAUCUAGAAGAAUAUUAUAUGAGGCUUUCUCAUCCAGUUUUCUCCAACUGACCCCCAAACCUGAAAAAACGUCAUUAUGUUUAAAACAAUCCAAUGGACUUUUGUUUUUAAUUGCAAACAGCCUCUAAGCUCUCUUCCAGUAUUAAAAUUUGAAGGUGCUAGUUGAGACAUGGAGUCCCUGGGUAGCGCAAACAAUUAAACAAUCAACUACUAGACAGAAGGUUGGCAGUUGGAACCCACCCAGAGGCAGCUUGGAAGACGGGCCUGAUGAACUGCUUCUGAAAGGUCACGGCCUUGAAAACCCUAUGGAUCAGUUUGAGAACAGACUCGAAGGCAACUAACAGCAAUAAGCAUAACAGCUGAGAAAUAGUGUCAAAACCAUGUACUAACCCACGCCCUGGGUUCCCACAAUUCCUUUCAUGGUUGUUGAGUCACCGCCUUUCACUGUGUACUUUCAGUUUCCUGUUAACUGAUUUCUUUGCUGAGCUGGCUCUUUUGUGUCUAUUUUUAGUCAUCUGAGCUCAGAAGAAAAUCUGGAAAGCCCUGGGACAUUGGAAGAGUAAGAUAAAAGCCCAAAUUUCCAGUGAAAGAGAAAAGUGACAGAAAACCACUGCAGCUAAACUCAGAAGAAAGGGAAAGAAGGAAAGCACACUUAGGACUUUCUCAUUAAGGCAGCUUGGUUUCCAGCUCUAAAGAAUCUCUUCUCCAGGAUUUCCUUUAGAAAUGAAGUUGAAAAGAAAUCUCGGGAAGAAUGUGCCCUUUCCUCCUGAAGCUGCGUUCUUAGUGAAGUGCUUACCCUGGUGCCUCGAAGUCCAAAGUUCAAGUGUUCCCACCUUGGGGAAGGAAUGGACUUGUCUGCUAGCUGGAAAUCAAGAUGCAGCGCUCAGUCUUGUUCUUAGACUCAAAUUGGAGAAAGGUGUGUGACUGGACUGCAUCACCCUCAUCAAGACUAGAAGACCCAGUUUCAGAAGAGGCAGACUUUGAGAUUCAUGGAACUCAGAAAAACACUGUACUUAUUAUUAGUUUUAUUAUAGCAAAAAGGAUUCAUAAGGCGAGGUCUGUAAGUAAAUAUAGUAUUCAUUUUUCAUUUUCCUUUCUUUUACCUUUCCUCCUCUCUCCCCCUUUCCACACUGGCCAAGAUCUCCAUCAUAAAUGUGAAGUGGUCAGAGUAAGCAUAGCUGUCUGAUUCCUGCUGAUUCCUGACUGAUGGGGGGGAAAGGUUUAAAGCUGUGUGUUGUCCUCUGAGGAUUGGUUUAGGUACAGAUGCCGCUUUGAUGACUAAGGUGUGCCUGACCCAAGCCAUGGCUUUUUAAAUUACCUCAUACGCAUGGGAAAGCUGAACAGUGAAAAAGGAAGAUAGAAGAAAAAUUAAUGCAUUUGAAUUGUGUUCUUGCAGAAGAAUAUUGAAUAUACCAUGAACUGCCAAGAGAACAAACAAAUCAGUCUUAAAUACAGCCAGAAUGCUCCUUGGAAGUGAGGAUGGCCAGACUUUGGCUCGCUUACUUUGGACAAGUCAUCACUAGAAAAGGACAUCGUGGUUGGUAACGCAGAGGGUCAGUGAAAACAAGGAAAACCCUCAAUGAGAUGGACUGACACAAUAGCCACAACAAUGGACUCAAACAGCAACAACCAGGAAGAUAGCACAGGAUCGGGCAACGUUUCCUUCUGUUGUACAUACGGUCACCACAAGUCAGAACUGACUUCACAGCAACUGACGAUAACAAAUGCAACAUAUGCAGGAUUCUCCUUUUUAUUCUCUUCAGAAUGUUUCCUAAUUUCCAUUUUCAUCUCUGCUUUGAUACAAGGUUUAAUAGAAGUGUCUCUAAAAUUCCAAAUAUAUGGGAAUUCCUUCUUAUUUUUUGUAAAUGAAUUCUAGAUGUUACUUGAUUCUCCUGAAAUGCUAUUUGUGGGUACCUCUCCGGCCCUAGGAUGAAAAUAUCCUCCUUUGUGAUAGGCCCUGGGAAGUCCUAGUUUAGAACAACUCUUUAAGGUCUUCUGCUCCUGGCUGCCAGAACCACCACAUGGCCAGACAUGCCUGUGCAAUAGAUAAUCCUGCGUAGUAGGAAGGAGGUAUGAAACCCCUGGGUAAAUGAAAUAAAUCUUGAAAUACAUUGGCCAGGAACUGAACCCAGGUCUCUUGCAUGGGAGGUGAGAAUUCUACCAUUGAGCCACCAAUGCUUCACCUUGUUUUUGUAGCAGGAAGGUAGCAAGAAAGAAGUACUUGAACCACUGAAAAAGUUCCAAAAUAGACUUCACAUGGUGUUGUCUUUGGAAGACAGUGCUAACAAACGAACAGACACCAAAAGCUAAGGCUUAAAAGGAGACUUACAUCAGGCAACAGUAUAAAGUGAUGGUAUUCAAAUUAAAAUAUCAAAUUGAGCUGUUUUGUCAGCUUAAAUUACACCUCCGAAAAAGGCUUUUUUCAACUGAGUGACACACCCCCAUAGAAAAACAUCAAUAAUUCAUCCAGGACCCUUGUUUGUGUCCCUGAAUCUUCAACUGUCAGCCACAAACUUACUUUAGAAGGUCUGAGAAGGUAACCUAACUUGUUAGGUUAAAAAAAACAAAACAAAACAAAAACCAACCCAUUGCCGUCGAGUCGAUUCCAACUCAUAGUGACCCUCUAGGACAGAGUAGAACUGCCUAACAGAGUUUCCAAGGAGUGUCUGGUGGAUUCAAAGUGUUUACCUCUUGGUUAGCAGCUGUAGCACUUAACCACUAUGCCCCCAGGGUUUCCACUUGUUAGGUUAAAAUUCAGAGAAAAAAUAAGAAUUAGAAGAAGAAAAGGGCUAGACUCAAAAUAGAGACAAUGAAGAAACAAAUUUUGGUCCACCAAGUUAAUCCUUUGUAACUGUUUUUGUGCAAGAAUAAUGAUCACUCUUGUAAUCAUUAUGAUAAUAGUGUGUGUCUGUUUUUUAAGGUAUUUGAGCAUUUGAAUGGAAAUGUCACUAUUAUAAAAAAAAUAAUUAACAUUAAUUUGGCAAUCAAUGGUUAAUUGGGAGAAUUCAAUUUUCUGAAUUAAUAUACAUUGAUGUAUUAGUUAUAUAAGGAGUAGACUAUUUUAAAUAAAUAUUGAUGGCUGAAA